UUUAGUAGUCCUACUUGGUGAGAAGUGAGAGAAUAUGCAUUAUCCACCGCCGAAUGUCAAAGCAUGGUAUAAGGGAUCCCAGGAUCUCAUCCAAAUUCUGGGUUCAGAAUGAUGCAAGGACGUCUCAGGUUCCGACGUACAAAGGUUCAGAGACUUCGUGUGCAAGAAUCCAUGCCACGUCUGGAUCCACCGGGAAUUGUCCGCACACUACAACUACAAACUGUUCGCCGUAGAUGAUAUUCUGUGCCAGCCCCCAACAGUCAAAGGC